CUGGUAAAGAAGAACCACAUCGACUUCUCGGUUCAUCAUCCGACCUUGGAUAAGUAACGUCACGCGAGCCACAUACCUAACUACCUUGGAAGCGGCAAGUCGAGGUCGUACGCGUACUCUGGUACCCGUUGGUACAUACAACCGACCAACCAUGAAAGAAGAGACAAUUCUACCAAUCUAGAGACUCUCGAUGCGAAGAGAAAGGAUGUCUCGUUUCGAUUUAACACCCGUCUCGAUUAUUUCACACCGUCAAACUAACAUUUGUCAUUCGAGGAAGCAUGCAUCCUUUAUGCAAGCCCGAGACUCAUGUAAACACGUUCGAUUACGACAAUACUCGACCUGUGUCUAGCCUACGAUUUAACCGAUUUUCACUCGCAAUGACUUACCGAUGGAUAAAGUAAACUGCACUCGAUGUACAUACCGCUGCAAUUAAUCCUUAUCGGUAAACUAAACUACUACGCGAUACGAUUUGUCGUAAAAGUCGCUUUGAGAAAAAACUACAACACAAACAACCAAGCAACCAAACAACAACGAACGAAAUAUAUGAAUUCGCUACGGCAACGCAAUCAAGUAAAUUGCAUUCAUACUCGGUAAAGGUAAAAUGUGGAAAAUUAACUUGGAAGUAAACCGACUCAUCUGACCGCACUGUUGUCCACUUAACGUAUGUUGAACGACGAUUGUGAAAGAACGUAAACGUACCGUAACGGAAUACGGUUUGAAUUUAAGUAAAAUGGAAGGAAGGAGGGUUAGGGACGAAUGUUUCAUUAGAUCAACUCGCCAACGACGACGUUACGAACAUCGCGGACUCACUCUUCUGUAUAAUGCAAAAUCAUGCCACGUACUCAUUCCACCCGGAUAGGAGAGGAGGUGGUCCAUUCGUUCGGCUAUCUGAUCGGAUUAUCGAACGCGUCGAUUUUCCGUUGUUACUCGAUUUAAUUUGCAUUUCUAUUGAAAUUAAGCUUUAUUGCCAAGUUGU